rnacentral:snoRNA from 1 species
ACUGUCCAUAUUCCUUACUUAUCAGACCUAAACACUGGUCUGAGUGCUUAUAAAAUGAGGAAAAGCAAAGCUGAAACUGACUUAAAUUCUUCCAAGUCAGGCAAGC